AUUAACUGCACCAGUUCGGUUGCUGAGGAGGAAAUCUGACUUUGCUCAAUAUUCAUCGGAUUCCAUCAGAAAUGGAUUACUUGGGAUGGUUGGAAGAACACCUCUUGUGAGAAUAAAUAAACUUAGUGAUGAAACUGGUUGUGAGAUAUUGGCCAAAGCUGAAUUCUGCAAUGGAGGUGGAUCAGUGAAAGACCGAGCCGCAUACUUCCUAGUUAAAGAUGCUGAAGAAAAAGGUUACAUCUUUCUGAAUGUGAAAGCUUAGGAAUUUUAUUAAAUCAUUAUUUGGUACAUGUAUGGUGUAUAUAUUUUGGCUUUUGAAAUGGUCAUCAUAUCAAUGAUGUCUUGCUAAUUUAAUGAGGAAACUGUCCGUUAGGCACAUGUGUUAAGUAUUUAAUCACAGGCAUUUAUUCAAUAUCUAGAAUCUAUAUUAGAGUGUAGUAUGUUUAAGUCUAGUGUUACUGUUGCAUAUACUUUAAAAAUUAUCAGAAUUGCCAUUUGAACACAAGGCAAAAGUAAGAAUUUAUCAUUGCUGCUAAUUGACGUUCCAUUCAAUUCGAAGUAAGAUACUCCAGAAAUCCUCUGUGAAGUUAUAUGAUAAGAAUUGACAAGAUCAUAGGGGACAAAGUUAAUAGAAGACAAGUUUACAGAGCUUGUUUGCUGACAUUGUUUUAGGGCUGUUAAAACCCGGAGGGACAGUUGUAGAAGGGACAGCAGGAAACACUGGGAUAGGGCUGGCACACAUGUGCCUGGCGAAGGGCUACAGGUGUGUCAUCUUCAUGCCAAAUAACCAGUCCAAGGAGAAAAUUGAAUGUCUUCAGACUCUUGGAGCUGAAGUUUAUCCUUGCCCUGUAAAACCUUGGACUGAUCCCGAUAACUAUAAUCACCAGGCUGCUAGGUAUGCACAGAGUUUGGAGAAUGCAGUGUGGACAAACCAGUUUGACAACACGGCCAACAAAAGAGCCCACAUUGAAACAACAGGACCUGAAAUCUGGCAGGAAACUAGUCUGUUUACAAUUAUCCAUCAAGGCUUUUUCAAUAUCAUAUCAAAUAUUUGGGAUCUUACUUUCCUAGUUUUCACUAGAAAUAUUUAAUGUACAUUACUAGGUUAAUUGAUCCUUUGAUUUAUGGAUUUGUUGCUAGUUUUCAUCCAUAACUUCAUCAGGAGCACUUUUCCAAAAAAAAUAAGAGUUGAAAAACCUUAUUGAUUGUUAUUGUCAAUGUUUGAUUGUAAAAAAUUCUGAUAUUGAUGUAACAUGUGCUUACCAUUGGUAGACGGUAAAGUGAAUGCUGUUGUGUUUGGCACUGGUACUGGGGGGACGUUGGCAGGAGUGGGCACUUACCUCAAAGAUAAAAAUAAAAAUGUCCAGGUUUUCCUAGCAGAUCCCCAGGGAAGUGUGUUAUAUAACUAUAUAAAAAAUGGAAAACUUGAGCGAACCCCUGGGGAUUCCAUAACAGAGGGCAUUGGCCAAGGACGUGUCACUCAAAACUUGAAAGACGCACCAAUCGAUGAUGCUCUGGCAAUUAAAGAUGUGGAUGCUGUGGAAUGGACCUUCAGACUUCUCCAUGAGGAGGGAUUCUUUGUGGGUGCAUCUACAGGACUGAAUAUAGCUGCUGCCAAACAAGUGGCUGAGUUAAUGGGGCCGGGCCACACCAUUGUCACCUGUCUGUGUGAUACAGGCCAGCGUUACUAUGGAAAAUUGUAUAGUAGAAAGGUUCUUCAGGACAGAGGUUUGCUGGAUGCCGUGCCCGAGCCGUAUCGUAGGUCUUUGCACGACUAACACGACGGUCAUUUUUCAACUCCUCGUGGAACUGGUGGUCUUCAGACCAUGUAUUCGAGACCGACAACGUGAUAACUCAGCAAUACUCUUCCAAUCGAACAUAAGUGAUUCAAUUUAGAUUCUUUUAAAGUAUACACAGGAUUUGUAACCCAUAAACUUAAAUUAAGAUUUUUUGAAUAAGCACAUUAGUAGCUUGUGUAUGUCUUAAAGGGACAUGUAACGGUGAUUAUUUCGUUUCUAUGAGUGAAAGGAAUAUUUUUCACGGUUAUGCAAACAACCUAUGCUGCUGAUAAGCGUAAAAUAUACGCCUAUUGUUUUUCUGGUCAAAUAUGAUAUUUGAUUAUUUUUGUACCAUGCUGAUAUACUUUACAAUCUUCGGUGCUAAUGUUAAAAUUACUAUUAAGAUGUUACGAACAUCCGAUCAUGUAGCAAGAUGAUAGCAAUGUGGUAGUAGCAUGAUCCGAAUUGACUAUACUAGCAUUUUUUUAUUUAAAUUUUGGCGAUAUCACAAGUGUUUAUGAUCAACUCAUACAUAUUUUGUAAUAAAAAAAAUCACAAUGG
rnacentral:misc_RNA from 1 species